rnacentral:lncRNA from 1 species
UGGAGGUCCAUGCCCAGGAUCCGAACCAGCGAACCCCAGGCUGCUAAAGCAGAGCAUGUGAACUUAACCACUAUACCACCAGGUCCUUCCACGGGGAACUAAGAGGCAUGUUGACAUGUUUUAUAAUAGCCCCAAACUGGAAACAUCCCAAAAGCCCAUCAACAAAAGAACAGAUUCAUCAAGUGUGGCACACUCCUGCCAUGGAAUUCUCAGUGUCGGUGAAUAUGACUGAACCACAGCUACACAGAAAUAUGGAUGAGUCUCAAAUCACAGGUGCAAUGAAAGAACAAGAGUAUGACUCCAUGUUUGUAAAAUUCCAGAAAAAGCGAAACUAAGUAAUAUAUUGUCAAGACAUAAACAGAUAGGUGGUAUGUAUAGAUAAUUCAAUGGAAUGAUUAACAUAAAACUCAGUAUUCGUUAACCUUUGCUGAAGAAUUAAGGAGAUGAGGUUGGAGAGGAUUUAGGGGUUUUUGUGAUUCUGAACCAGGAUGAGGAUGCAUGGGUGUUCUUUUUAUUAUUAUUAUUCACUGUCACAUAUCUUCAUAUACAUUUGAAUUAUACUAUUUCACAAUAAGCAUGAACAAGUUUAUUCUGAAAUAUUGCUAACAUACAGACAAGUAGAGAAAAUAGAGAAAGAUUUGAAAGAACAUUCAUGUUUGCACCAUACAGAUUUAUCAAUUCUUAACGUGCCGUGUUUGUUUCAGAUCCUUUUUAAAGAAAUAAAACGUUACGUGCUGUUAAGGACCCUCAUGCGCGCUCUCUAAUCACCUUCCUUUCUCUCUCCCAUCAGAAGGAAUAACAACCCUGAAAUUAUGUAUCCUUCUUUUCUCCAUUUUAUACUUUACUGACAAGGUCUUGCAUCCAUAAACAAUACAUGUCCUGUUGCAGGUUUUAAAUUUUAUGCAGAGCAUAUUAUACUCCAAAUGUCAUCUUGGAAUCAGAUUUCCCAUUUUUAGAUUGAUUUAUGUUUAUGCAUAUAGAUCCAGUUUAUCCAAACCGCUAUAAAGUAAUCCGACAGAGAGGUGGCAAAAUGUUAAAUGUGGUGCAUCUGGGUAGACGGUGUAGAGUUUCCUGUAUUACUUUUGUAACUUGCUGUAAAUUGGAAAUUACUUCAGAAUAACGACAUCAGUACUGAUUCACAUAUAUUAGCAGUAUGCACU